CAAAGCGUACAUGAAGCAAAGAAAUGGAAAGUGGAGCACCAACUCCUAACAAACAUGAAAUGGGAAACGUGACAUGAAGAUUGGUUCCUAUAGUUAAGGAAGACCACUUCUUUUAUUAAUAAAACUAGAAAAUAAAUGAGUCGUGAGACUCCUUCAUGCGAGAUUCUUGCCCUUUGGUUGACGUCGUCUAGCUGAUCUCGUACUUGCCACCUCAGCACGUGCUUGACUUCUAGUAUCCUAUCAAUACCCCGGUGGUCUAAAAGAACCUUGUCCUCAAGGUUCAUGUGCAUUGAGGAAAACUUCACUUGAAUUGAUUCUCUUCCUCCCCGGUUGAUUCUUCUAGUUGUGAUGUUUUUCAACGCACUACGGCUUCCAAGACCAAGCUGUCUCCAUGGUUCGUUAUUAACAAUAAUUUUUUUGAAUAAAAAGAGUUUUUGUUUUUGAGUGAAAAAGAAAUAUAAAAUCCUUUUUUUUUUUUGAAAUUGAAAACAAUGGAAGAAUUAUAGAUAUUAAUCCAUACAAAAGAAAGGAUGUUGAACUUGAUCAACAAACCCGAGUAGAAAAUUGUGAAAAAAAGCAAUGAAAAGAACAAUAGCUGGAUAGAUCUCGAUAAACGUUGAUUCCGUAGAAUGGCCAUUCGUCAAGGUUUCUUGAUAAUCAUUGAUUUAUAGAGAAUACUGAUAACAAGUAAGAUGGAAAAAUAUUAAGUUUUUGAUACCACAAAGUGGUCCGGAUCAAAAACAAAACAUGCUCUGAUACCAAUUGAUAGGUCCCUUGCCAAGAGAUAUCUAUUGUUGAUCUAGAAACAUGGAUUUGAUACCAAUUAAGGUCCCUCUUCAAAUCAAAGAGAAUUUGCCAAAGGACAAACUAAGAACACACACUUUUCUUUGGGUAGUUAGACUACCUCUUUUUAGGUUUUUCAUUCAUAUAAAUAGCAAAGCGUACAUGAAGCAAAGAAAUGGAAAGUGGAGCACCAACUCCUAACAAACAUGAAAUGGGAAACGUGACAUGAAGAUUGGUUCCUAUAGUUAAGGAAGACCACUUCUUUUAUUAAUAAAACUAGAAAAUAAAUGAGUCGUGAGACUCCUUCAUGCGAGAUUAUUGCCCUUUGGUUGACGUCGUCUAGCUGAUCUCGUACUUGCCACCUCAGCACGUGCUUGACUUCUAGUAUCCUAUCAGUUUGCCUCUAAUGUUUAUGCUAAUUUAAGAGACUGCGAGUUGUUUUUCUUCUACUAAACCGGCACACGUUCUGUUUCUCAGAAAGUAAUUGUUCAGUAUCGUACUUUUACAAAAUUAAUACUAUCAAAAACAAACAACUUUACCAAACACAGAUUUAAAGUCAAACGCAGCCAUGCUACAAUAAACUAGAGGAAACGACGACAACAAAAAUAGUAUCAGAUAAUAAAAUUAGAAGUACUAAAGUGAUAACAACAAAAAGUAACAAUGUUAUUUGAAAAACAGAUACUUGCAAGGACUUAAACAUAAGGAACUUCAAAUAUGAGAUUUUGUACAUUAUAAAUUCAAAUAUGAAGUUUCACUGUACAAAACAUCAAAAUUUAAAAUUUUGAACUUGCUUUUAGAGCAAGUAAAACUCCAUAUUUGAAGUUUUGAAAUUGAUUUUGGAGAUGUUCUUAACAUGAAACAAUUGGUUUUGAUUUGUACUCAAUUAUAUGUUCGCUUCAGUUUAAAAUGUAUUUUCUUAACAAAUUGUACAAUCAAUGAAGUUAUUGCUUUAGUCGGAUAAUAAUGUUUAGCAACAUAACCGAUAACGUGGAUAUUCAUUAUAUCAACAUAAAAUAAUGAAAAAACAAAUAACAUAUAUAUAGUAAAGAGUCUAUAAAUUAAUACUCGGCAAAUGAAUAGGCACAAUAAUUAAUAAAUUUUAUUGGUCUUGAAUUGGACAUAUGUAAAAUAUAACAUAAUUCGAUAAAAUAAUAAUAACAUAACUAUUAUAUAUAACUUUUAUAUAAACAUAAAUAAAACAUCUUUUAAAAAAUGAAUUCAUCUUUCAUCUUUUUUUUUCAAUUUCAAUAUUCUGAUGUUUCUAUUGAAUUACAGAUAACAGACUUUUAUACUAUCAUCAAAUUCAACACACAUGAUAUAUCAAUUAAUUUAAUAAAGUAGAUAAAAUUUAACUAAUAUAUAGUAUCAUAAAGUUAUUUUUUUUUAACAAUAUAAUCAGCUAUUGUAACACAAACAACAUAUAUCUUAUCACAUAUAAUUCCUUCUCACCUAAAACUUUCUAAAAGACAAAAAAAACAUUAUCAUACACAUCUCUUGGAAAUGCAAACUUAUAACACAAACUACAAAAUCAUGCAAAAAUAAUAAUCUAGAUCACAAGUAAAGUAUAUAUAUAUCUAUCUAUAUAUAUAUAAAAUUGUCUGCCUCUCUCCUAAGCCAUCCAACUGGAAACUCGUUCUCUGAGGGGCUGACACUUGUCCGCUUUUUAUAAAACGCGUCGUAUCACUUAAAUUUUAAUAGAUCCGUGUUGGGCUUAGAUUUCGUUAUUGGGCUUCAGUUUAAUUGAGAGAAAGAGGUCGGGCACAUGAAUUAGGGUCCGACGGUCGUCUUCUCCAAACUCAGAUGACGUUCCUGAUACCUUCAGCAGAGAAACGGAUCUACCUUUAAUCCCAUUGAUUGGUGCCUCCACGAUGUGUUUUCAAUGCGAUCCUUACGCCUCAGAGGUGGUGCGAUUAUUGCGUAUAAAUAGGGGUCACCCCUCUCAUCCUCGACGCACCCACGCUUUCCUACAUAGAUUCUUCUUUGUUUUUGUCAUGUAUGCUCCGAAAGUUUUCUUCUCAGACCUCAAGUCCGGCAAGUGCUCCUCCGUCGUUGAGGCUCGGCUUCUGCGGUCCUGGGAGGCAAAAAAUGUCAAACGCGAUGGGGAAUUGAUGUGGGUCGACAUGCUCUUGAUUGACGUCAACGUAAGUUCUUUUCUUAUCAGUAUAUUAUUCCGAUUAGCCUCUUCGUGUUUGCGUUUUUUUCCUAACUUUUAAAUUUUUUUUUCUUCGUGUAUCAGGCGACAAUGAUGCAGGUCACCAUCAAUGCUAACCGCCUUUCACGAUUCCGUUCCAAACUCGCCGCCGGGACGAUGUACACCGUCUCUGGCUUCGAUGCGGCGGCGAUGAGGGACUUUCUAGUUUCUUCGUUCGAUCUGAAACGGUUCUAUCUAUGGCUGCAUGGUAAAUCGAAUUGAUCGGAUUUUAUCAUUUUGUGAGUUUCGUCAACGGAAGAGAAAGAUGGUAGUACAGCUCCUAUUAUCGAGACUAGGAUGCAAGAACCGACCCUUUUUCGGGUAAUGGCGGCGGAUAGCAGAUCUCCGAGAGACGGGAAGCACAUCGAGGUCUUGGGUUACUUCAAUCCUUUGCCAGGUGAUUUAAUGAAGAGGAUUUGUAUUCUUUGGUUCGAUUUUUGAUUGCUCUCUUCAUUUGUUUUUACACUGUUUCGUUUGUGUGCAGGCCAGGAUGGUGGUAAGAGAAUGGGUCUCAAGUUUUAUAGAAUCAAGUACGUUUCCUUAUCAUCUUUUCACAUUUGAGUUUGUGAAUGGAGUUGGAUGAUUUAGACCAUUGUUAUAAGGGAAGGCUCUCUUAGUUUAUUAAUAUGUGAAUGGAGCUGGAAACGUUAUUAGAAUGAUUCUUCAGUUCAUUGUAGCUUUGUGAAAGUAGUUUCCUUUGUUCAAAGGAGCAAUGCGUUUUUUUAAUCAUGUUUCUUGAGAUUGUCUUCUACUUACUUAAAUCACUCUUCUGGGUUUCUGCAUUUGAAAUGUUUUGGUCUAAGAUAUCAGUCAGGGUUUGCAGUCACAUUUACACAAUGAUUAGCUAUAUUUCCUUGGAUAUUUUCUCUUUCAUAUGUGUUGUUAUGACUACUUUCUCUGUUUUCUUUGAUUGAAUUUUGCAAUGUUUUUUUUUCAAAACAAAAAAAAUUUGCUUUAUUUUCUGGUGGUUUCGUGGCAGCUCCAUAACUUGAGUUUUAGGGGUUUUCAAAGUGUAAGCUCCAUAACAAUUGAUUUUCCAUAACAAUGUAAGUUAUCAAUGGGUAAUCUUCUGGUUUGUAUUUGUCACGUAGAAACUUCGAAUCCAUAUUUGGCUAUUUGAGCGGAAAGAUCUGAAGACUGAAGAAAUAAUUAAUGUAAAUCUGUACUACACAUUUUUAGCUAUGAAUCUGUUCCGAACAGAGCUCCAUGAGCAUGUACUUUGUAAUUCCUAGCUUAGUUUUCUUUCUAAAUCAAGUUUAAAUACACUGUUUAAUCGAUCUCUUUGUUUUCUCAAGUGUUCAGGAAUUCAUGGUGUUCUUUGUGCGGCUGAAUUCAUGGAGUACAAACACUACCGAGUAAGUUCAUCAACACACUACUGAGGAAUUCAUGGUGUUCUUUGUUCAGAAAGUUGCUUCACAUUUUAUUUUUCUUGCAUAUUCAAUUCGUGUCCAUUGGCCACUAGACUAACUUAAGGUUAUGUUCUUGAUUCAUCUGUCCCCUUCACAUUAUGUAUCUGAGGUUGAUCAAGAUUACUUUGAUAGGUCCCUUGCCAAGAGAUAUCUAUUGUUGAUCUAGAAACAUGGAUUUGAUACCAAUUAAGGUCCCUCUUCAAAUCAAAGAGAAUUUGCCAAAGGACAAACUAAGAACACACACUUUUCUUUGGGUAGUUAGACUACCUCUUUUUAGGUUUUUCAUUCAUAUAAAUAGCAAAGCGUACAUGAAGCAAAGAAAUGGAAAGUGGAGCACCAACUCCUAACAAACAUGAAAUGGGAAACGUGACAUGAAGAUUGGUUCCUAUAGUUAAGGAAGACCACUUCUUUUAUUAAUAAAACUAGAAAAUAAAUGAGUCGUGAGACUCCUUCAUGCGAGAUUCUUGCCCUUUGGUUGACGUCGUCUAGCUGAUCUCGUACUUGCCACCUCAGCACGUGCUUGACUUCUAGUAUCCUAUCAAUACCCCGGUGGUCUAAAAGAACCUUGUCCUCAAGGUUCAUGUGCAUUGAGGAAAACUUCACUUGAAUUGAUUCUCUUCCUCCCCGGUUGAUUCUUCUAGUUGUGAUGUUUUUCAACGCACUACGGCUUCCAAGACCACGCUGUCUCCAUGGUUCGUUAUUAACAAUAAUUUUUUUGAAUAAAAAGAGUUUUUGUUUUUGAGUGAAAAAGAAAUAUAAAAUCCUUUUUUUUUUUGAAAUUGAAAACAAUGGAAGAAUUAUAGAUAUUAAUCCAUACAAAAGAAAGGAUGUUGAACUUGAUCAACAAACCCGAGUAGAAAAUGGUGAAAAAAAAAGCAAUGAAAAGAACAAUAGCUGGAUAGAUCUCGAUAAACGUUGAUUCCGUAGAAUGGCCAUUCGUCAAG
rnacentral:lncRNA from 1 species